AUGGCCUGGACUCCUCUCCUCCUCGUGCUCCUCUCCCACUGCACAGGUUCCCUCUCCCAGCCUGUGCUGACUCAGCUGCCCUCCCUCUCUGCAUCACCUGGGACAACCGUCAGGCUGUCCUGUACCCUGAGAAGUGGCAUCAGUGUUUGGGGCCAAAGAAUCAGUUGGCACCAGCAGAAGCCAGGAAGCCCUCCCCGGUAUCUCCUGAACUACCACACAGACUCAGAUAAAGGCCAGGGCUCCGGUGUCCCGAGCCGCUUCUCUGGAUCCAAAGAUACUUCAGCCAAUGCAGGGAUUCUGCUCAUCACUAGGUUGCAGCCUGAGGACGACGCUGAGUAUUACUGUGCUACAUAUUACAGCGACGCUACCCUCACAGUGAUCCAGACUCACGGGGAAAUCGUACAUUCUGUGCAUAUACUCUUCGUUUCUGCUAGUGUGGAAAGCUCUUCUUUGCCCAAGCCUACCUUGGAAUAA